AUAUCAAUAAGCGGAGGAAAAGAAACUAACAAGGAUUCCCCUAGUAACUGCGAGUGAAGCGGGAAAAGCUCAAAUUUAAAAUCUGGCAGUCUUUGACUGUUCGAGUUGUAAUCUAGAGAAGUGUUAUCCGCGCUGGACCGUGUACAAGUCUCCUGGAAUGGAGCGUCAUAGAGGGUGAGAAUCCCGUCUUUGACACGGACUCCCAGGGCUUUGUGAUAUGCUCUCAAAGAGUCGAGUUGUUUGGGAAUGCAGCUCAAAAUGGGUGGUAAAUUCCAUCUAAAGCUAAAUAUUGGCGAGAGACCGAUAGCGAACAAGUACCGUGAGGGAAAGAUGAAAAGAACUUUGGAAAGAGAGUUAAACAGUACGUGAAAUUGCUGAAAGGGAAACGCUUGAAGUCAGUCGCGUUGUCCAGGGAUCAACCUUGCUUUUGCUUGGCUUACUUUCUGGUCGACGGGUCAGCAUCAAUUUUGAUUAUUGGAAAAAGAUUAGGGGAAUGUGGCAUCUUCGGAUGUGUUAUAGCCCUUGGUUGUAUACAAUGGUUGGGAUUGAGGAACUCAGCACGCCGCAAGGCCGGGUUUUUAACCACGUACGUGCUUAGGAUGCUGGCAUAAUGGCUUUAAUCGACCCGUCUUGAAACACGGACCAAGGAGUCUAACAUGCCUGCGAGUGUUUGGGUGGAAAACCCGAGCGCGUAAUGAAAGUGAAAGUUGAGAUCCCUGUCGCGGGGAGCAUCGACGCCCGGACCAGACCUUUUGUGACGGUUCCGCGGUAGAGCAUGUAUGUUGGGACCCGAAAGAUGGUGAACUAUGCCUGAAUAGGGUGAAGCCAGAGGAAACUCUGGUGGAGGCUCGUAGCGAUUCUGACGUGCAAAUCGAUCGUCAAAUUUGGGUAUAGGGGCGAAAGACUAAUCGAACCAUCUAGUAGCUGGUUCCUG
rnacentral:rRNA from 1 species